ensembl:lncRNA
CUUAACAGGAAGCCAAUGAAGGGAAGCCAAAACAGGAGAAAUAUGUUCUCUCUUUCUAGUCCCUGUCAGGACUCUUGCUGCAGCAUUUUGGAUUAGCUGAAGGCUUUUCAGUGAGUUUUUUGGACAUCCUGAUAAUAAUGAGUUACAGUAGUCCAGCCUGGAAGUAAUAAAUGCAUGAACUAGUUUUUCAGCGUCACUCUGAGACAGGAUAUUUCUAAUUUUAGAGAUGUUGCGCAAAUGGAAGAAAGCAGUCUUACAUAUUUGUUUAAUAUGUGCGUUGAAGGACAUAUCCUGGUCAAAAAUGACUCCAAAGUUCCUCACAGCGUUACUGGAGGCCAAGGUAAUGCCAUCCAGAGUAAGAAUCUGGUUAGAUACCAUAUUUCUAAGAUUUUCAGGGCCGAGUACAAUAACCUCAGUUUUAUCUGAAUUAAGAAGCAGAAAGUUAGCGGCCAUCCAGGUCUUUAUGUCUUUAAGACAUUCCUGCAGUUUAACUAAUUGGUGUGUGUUAUCUGGCUUCAUGGACAGAUAGAGCUGGGUGUCAUCAGCAUAGCAGUGAAAAUGUAUGCUAUGUCUUCUAAUGAUGCUGCCUAAGGGAAGCAUGUAUAAUGUAAACAGAAUUGGUCCUAGCACUGAACCCUGUGGAACUCCAUAAUUAACCUCAGUGUGUGAAGAGGACUCUCCAUUUACAUGCACAAAUUGGAGUCUAUUAGAUAGAUAUGAUACAAACCACUGCAGUGCAGUACCUGUAAUACCUACAGCAUGUUCUAAUCGUUCUAAUAGGAUAUUAUGGUCAACAGUAUCGAAUGCUGCACUAAGGUGUAGCAGGACAAGCACAGAGAUGAGUCCACUGUCAGAGGCCGACACCGAUAUAUCGUUUCUCCAACCUUCGACUCCAGGACGACGAAAACUCCACUGCAGCUGAUCAUGAAAGCGGCACGAGCAGCAAUAGCACAGCCUGCCAACAGGACUCAGAUGAUGAUCUCAUUGAAUGACACAGCAGACAUGAUUGACACCAGCUGCACUGAAAUGGACUGCAUGUUGCCUUGAUUUUCUCUUUUUUAUUGAAGCUCCCCAAAUGUUUGAAUGUCUUAAUUUAUUGAGCUGACUUUGCUUUUUUCACUCUUUGUACAUAUAUGUAUGUUUUCUUGAUUUACAUGUUUAACACAUUGUACUUCUGUACAACAUAAAAAUAAAACCAAAAACAGAAUGUGCAUUUAACAUGAAACAAAUUCUGCAUAUUAUGGAGUCUUCAUCAAAAUGUUACAGGUUAAAUUAUACUCCAAUAAAUUUCUGC